rnacentral:rRNA from 1 species
GAUGAACGCUGGCGGCGUGCCUAAUACAUGCAAGUCGAGCGAACAGACGAGGAGCUUGCUCCUCUGACGUUAGCGGCGGACGGGUGAGUAACACGUGGAUAACCUACCUAUAAGACUGGGAUAACUUCGGGAAACCGGAGCUAAUACCGGAUAAUAUAUUGAACCGCAUGGUUCAAUAGUGAAAGACGGUUUUGCUGUCACUUAUAGAUGGAUCCGCGCCGCAUUAGCUAGUUGGUAAGGUAACGGCUCACCAAGGCAACGAUGCGUAGCCGACCUGAGAGGGUGAUCGGCCACACUGGAACUGAGACACGGUCCAGACUCCUACGGGAGGCAGCAGUAGGGAAUCUUCCGCAAUGGGCGAAAGCCUGACGGAGCAACGCCGCGUGAGUGAUGAAGGUCUUCGGAUCGUAAAACUCUGUUAUUAGGGAAGAACAAAUGUGUAAGUAACUAUGCACGUCUUGACGGUACCCAAUCAGAAAGCCACGGCUAACUACGUG